AUUGAACGCUGGCGGCAUGCCUAACACAUGCAAGUCGAACGGGGCAGCAAUGCCUAGUGGCGGACGGGUGAGGAAUACGUAGGAAUCUGCCCUUAAGUGGGGGAUAACCAGGGGAAACCCUGACUAAUACCGCAUGAUCUCUUCGGAGCAAAGAGGGGGACCGCAAGGCCUCUCGCUUCUGGAUGAGCCUAAGUCUGAUUAGCUAGUUGGUAGGGUAAAGGCCUACCAAGGCGACGAUCAGUAACUGGUCUGAGAGGAGGAUCAGUCACACCGGAACUGAGACACGGUCCGGACUCCUACGGGAGCAGCAGUGGGGAAUAUUGGACAAUGGGCGCAAGCCUGAUCCAGCAAUGCCGCGUGUGUGAAGAAGGCCUUCGGGUUGUAAAGCACUUUAGCCUGGAAAGAAAAAACUUUGGUUAACACCCAAAGUCUUGACGGUACCAGGAGAAUAAGCACCGGCUAACUCUGUGCCAGCCGCCGCCGUAAAAC
rnacentral:rRNA from 1 species